GUAGUCUCGCACAGAUGCAUAUCAAUAAGCGGAGGAAAAGAAACUAACAAGGAUUCCCUCAGUAACGGCGAGUGAAGCGGGAAGAGCUCAAAUUUGAAAUCUUGAAAGGUCACCUUUCACGAAUUGUAGUUUAAAGAAGUGUUUUCUGUUACGAUCGUAAUAUAAGUUCUUUGGAAUAGGACAUCACAGAGGGUGAGAAUCCCGUCUAUGAUUGCGAUUUGUAGCUUUGUGAUACACUUUCAAAGAGUCGGAUUGUUUGGGAAUGCAGUCCAAAAUGGGUGGUAAAUUUCAUCUAAAGCUAAAUAUUGGCGAGAGACCGAUAGCGAACAAGUACCGUGAGGGAAAGAUGAAAAGAACUUUGAAAAGAGAGUUAAAUAGUACGUGAAAUUGUCAAAAGGGAAGCGUUUAACACCAGUGUUGUUUUCUGAAAAUCAACCUCUGUUAGCUUUAUGCAUGUUUGUUUAGACCUAAUCAGCUAUCUUGCAUGUUCUAUUGUUUGCAGUGGUGCACUUUUCAGUUUACAGGUCAACAUCAGUUUUUUUUACCGUAAAAAAGUUAAAGAAAGGUAGCUCAUGGCUCCGGUCGUGAGUGUUAUAGUCUUUUUCCUAUGCGGUAGGAGAGACUGAGGUCUGCAGUGUAGGCUAUUUGGCUAGAUACUCAGGUGCUAUGUGAUACCAUUUCAUAAACAACUUGUUGAUUAUGUUUUGUCUAUUGCAUACUCGCUUGUACUAUCAUACCUACGCUUAGGAUGUUGAAGAUGUAGCACAUCAU
rnacentral:rRNA from 1 species